rnacentral:rRNA from 1 species
GACGAACGCUGGCGGCGUGCUUAACACAUGCAAGUCGAACGGAAAGGCCCUGCUUUUGUGGGGUGCUCGAGUGGCGAACGGGUGAGUAACACGUGAGUAACCUGCCCUUGACUUUGGGAUAACUUCAGGAAACUGGGGCUAAUACCGGAUAGGAGCUCCUGCUGCAUGGUGGGGUUGGAAAGUUUCGGCGGUUGGGGAUGGACUCGCGGCUUAUCGGCUGGUUGGUGGGGGAGUGGCUUACCAAGGCUUGACGGGUAGCCGGCCUGAGAGGGUGACCGGCCACAUUGGGAUUGAGAUACGGCCCAGACUCCUACGGGAGGCAGCAGUGGGGAAUAUUGCACAAUGGGCGGAAGCCUGAUGCAGCAACGCCGCGUGCGGGAUGACGGCCUUCGGGUUGUAAACCGCUUUCGCCUGUGACGAAGCGUGAGUGACGGUAAUGGGUAAAGAAGCACCGGCUAACUACGUG